ACGAAGCAAAAAUAAUUCACAGCUUGCACAACAUGGACAUUUCUCUACUGUCUGCUCUGACACUGAUGCUGGCUGUCUGGGCCGUGGCUGUGGCUGGGGAUUGUGUGACAGAUCCCGUGACAAUGCUGUGCAUUUUGGAUCCCAAUCAGGGCUAAUCACCAUAUGCGGAUUCGAAUAUGUGUCUCCAACCAGAGUGGAUUCUCCCUUGAAUAAAGUGAAAACGUGGAACUAAACUUUUUGACACAGA